rfam:Leptomonas pyrrhocoris LpyrH10_06, whole genome shotgun sequence.
ACCUGCACUUCGCUCGCCCCGUUCCUGCGUUAGUGGACGGUGUCGAUGGAUGGUGUGAGGAAGA